rnacentral:rRNA from 1 species
GAUGAACGCUGGCGGCGUGCCUAAUACAUGCAAGUCGAGCGAACGGACGAGAAGCUUGCUUCUCUGAUGUUAGCGGCGGACGGGUGAGUAACACGUGGAUAACCUACCUAUAAGACUGGGAUAACUUCGGGAAACCGUAGCUAAUACCGGAUAAUAUUUUGAACCGCAUGGUUCAAAAGUGAAAGACGGUCUUGCUGUCACUUAUAGGUGGAUCCGCGCUGCAUUAGCUAGUUGGUAAGGUAACGGCUUACCAAGGCAACGAUGCAUAGCCGACCUGAGAGGGUGAUCGGCCACACUGGAACUGAGACACGGUCCAGACUCCUACGGGAGGCAGCAGUAGGGAAUCUUCCGCAAUGGGCGAAAGCCUGACGGAGCAACGCCGCGUGAGUGAUGAAGGUCUUCGGAUCGUAAAACUCUGUUAUUAGGGAAGAACAUAUGUGUAAGUAACUGUGCACAUCUUGACGGUACCUAAUCAGAAAGCCACGGCUAACUACGUGCCAGCAGCCGCGGUAAUACGUAGGUGGCAAGCGUUAUCCGGAAUUAUUGGGCGUAAAGCGCGCGUAGGCGGUUUUUUAAGUCUGAUGUGAAAGCCCACGGCUCAACCGUGGAGGGUCAUUGGAAACUGGAAAACUUGAGUGCAGAAGAGGAAAGUGGAAUUCCAUGUGUAGCGGUGAAAUGCGCAGAGAUAUGGAGGAACACCAGUGGCGAAGGCGACUUUCUGGUCUGUAACUGACGCUGAUGUGCGAAAGCGUGGGGAUCAAACAGGAUUAGAUACCCUGGUAGUCCACGCCGUAAACGAUGAGUGCUAAGUGUUAGGGGGUUUCCGCCCCUUAGUGCUGCAGCUAACGCAUUAAGCACUCCGCCUGGGGAGUACGACCGCAAGGUUGAAACUCAAAGGAAUUGACGGGGACCCGCACAAGCGGUGGAGCAUGUGGUUUAAUUCGAAGCAACGCGAAGAACCUUACCAAAUCUUGACAUCCUUUGACAACUCUAGAGAUAGAGCCUUCCCCUUCGGGGGACAAAGUGACAGGUGGUGCAUGGUUGUCGUCAGCUCGUGUCGUGAGAUGUUGGGUUAAGUCCCGCAACGAGCGCAACCCUUAAGCUUAGUUGCCAUCAUUAAGUUGGGCACUCUAAGUUGACUGCCGGUGACAAACCGGAGGAAGGUGGGGAUGACGUCAAAUCAUCAUGCCCCUUAUGAUUUGGGCUACACACGUGCUACAAUGGACAAUACAAAGGGCAGCGAAACCGCGAGGUCAAGCAAAUCCCAUAAAGUUGUUCUCAGUUCGGAUUGUAGUCUGCAACUCGACUACAUGAAGCUGGAAUCGUUAGUAAUCGUAGAUCAGCAUGCUACGGUGAAUACGUUCCCGGGUCU